CCUAGCAGGUCUCAGGGCCUCCAAGAUGCAGGCAGAGAUGUCCAGGUAGGAUUUCCCAUGGCUUGCCUGGGCUUUUGUUCUGCUAUGAUGCAGCAAGAGGUCAGAACCAGAUGCUGAGAGGGGAAACACCACAGGGCUGGUGUUCAGCAACAAGGCACGCGCUUCUCCUCCCUGCUCCUGCCCUUAGCAGUACAGCUGUCACUGCAGCUUUGGAAAUGCCUCUGCAGACCACAAACCACUGCACUUGCACAAGGGACCUGCAUCCCCCUUCCCUUACAUCACGCCUGCAAGCUUUGCUGCCAAAAAAACUUUCAAAUUCCCAUUUGCACACUGGAGGCCAGGGGUUUCUCUCCUCCAGGCUCUGCCCCCGAAGCCGGGGCUAAAAGGGAGGAAGAUACAGCACAGAUAGGGCCGCAGAUCCAGGCAGAGAGCGUGGCAUUACCAUGGGGAAAAAGGCCGCCUUUGAGUCCUGAACUGAGAAAAAUGGAGCUGGGAGGCACCAAAAGAGACUAAAGGGGGUAUCACUGCUAAAGAUGGCCUGGACAUUACAUCUGCACAGCAAUGGGAGGACACCACGAGAGCCCAGCUCUGUGAACCCUCAGUGUCACCUACCAACCACAAGUGAGCCUCUGCAUGACAGCAAGACCCCAAAACCAAUAGCAGUGGGCAAGGAGGAGGCACAUCCUUGUUCCCCCUCGAGGCGGCAGGACACUGGCGAUGCUGGAGGCAAUGCCCACCUCAGUUCCUUCGCCUCGCUCCAUGCGAUUGCCGAGCGGCACUGGCCGGCUGAAUUAAUGCUCGAGUGUUCCCCAUCAAAAAUGUUCUACGGGAGUGCAAAGCACUAAUAAAAUUGUUCCCCAUAUGGGAUUUUCAG
rnacentral:lncRNA from 1 species